GACGAACGCUGGCGGCGUGCUUAACACAUGCAAGUCGAACGAAGUGGCAAACGGGUGAGUAACGCGUACUCAACCUUCCCUUCAGCGGGGGACAACAGUUGGAAACGACUGCUAUUACCGCAUACUUAAGGAGGGGAUUGCGUCUGAUUAGGUAGUUGGGGGGGUAAAGGCCCACCAAGGCGAUGAUCAGUAGCCGGUCUGAGAGGAUGAACGGCCACAUUGGGACUGAGACACGGCCCAGACGCCUACGGGAGGCAGCAGUGGGGAAUCUUCCGCAAUGGACGAAAGUCUGACGGAGCAACGCCGCGUGAGUGAUGACGGUCUUCGGGUGGUAAAGCUCUGUUAAUAGGGACGCGGUACCGGAAUAGAAAGCGACGGCUAACUACGUGCCAGCAGCCGCGGUAAUAC
rnacentral:rRNA from 1 species